GAUGAUUUGUUCAGUUCUGCCGUCGUCAGGCGAGCGGCCGCCGCUCUUAUCGCGACCAGCAGGUGGCCCCGAGAUCGGCGGCGCGUUUCAAACCCGGCCAUAAAUCACACCGGCGAGACAGAAUAUUAACAGCAUCAAGAGGCGCGUCAAGAAGUACACAUGAUGCAAGGAACGUGGUUAGAAGUAACUUACUGAAAAAAAAAACUACUGAUCCAAUCAAGGUCCUUUUUAAAUCCAGCAUCAGAAGUCGAAAAAUUUAAACUAUAUUCAACGUAUUACCCACCUACCCAACCUUUUGAAUCAGAAUCCUGACCAUGUUGUCAGCACCGAGCUGGGAAGCUGUCAUAGCAAACCGGGCAAGCUGUCUCACCGAGGACCCGAGUCAGACGACGACUCAGGAGUGUCAUUUGCUGAGGGGCUGGAGGAUGGGCCUGAAGUGGAGGGGCUGUGUCAUUCAGAGCAAGAUGGGGGAGAAAUGGAGCACAGAACAGGCAUCCGUGAUUUAAGCAGCACGGCGAGGGGAGUGACCUAGCCAACAGGGGGGUCUGACCCACCAGAUAACAGCUGCAGAGACAAUCAUGUGUAGCGGCGGGAGCUUCGGACCACGCCGGCCAGUUCCCAUGGCGCUGAUUGUGGCUCUUCCGUGUUAUUGCCAGUCGACCCCACAGAACGAACAAACAGGACCUUCUGGUUACCCCUGUCUUCACUAACAGGAUCAGAGAUGCACAAUAAUGGAAAAGUUGUUGAGAAUGCUCUGGAAGGAGUGAUAAUCCAGCACCGUGACAACUCAGUUGGUAUCUCCGCAUGUCUACAAGUCACCCUCCGAUGCCUGCAGACUGAUCCAGUACAGGGUCGAGUUGAGGACGGAGCCAG